GGGGAUGUUCUGGCUUCGACGCUGGUAAUGAAACUCAAUGAUGCAUGUCAAGAGCGUAUGUCUCUUGUAAAUAAACGUACAUUUUAAAUAGUCGCAAACGACGAAACUUACGCACUAGCAGCCUAAGGGUUGCUUGGGACGGUACAGAUUGCCUUUGGUUUGGUUGCUCUCCCAGAUGCGAACGCACAAAGGAUAGUUUUGGCUUUUGUCUUGCAAGCCAAAGCGAAUUUUUAGAGACUCGCCGUUGGCAUCCUGACUGUCGGUUCGCCAAAGGUUAAAGCCAUAGACAGACUCUAAGCAUGUAGAGUCAUGGGCGUAGUGCUGGCGGACGCGGGUUCAACUCCCGCCAUCUCCACCA
rnacentral:tmRNA from 1 species